UGAGGGACGCCAUUGCCAAAUUCCACCGUUAGAUGACCCUUUGAAUCUUGCCGGUUAUACAUCCAAGUUCGAUCAUCAUCGGUCAUUCUAAGAAUUUUAAACCGAUACAAUUAGGUAACCGUUACAUUGGAUAUCGUAUUUUCAUUAUAAGGAAAAAAGCCUGAUUUUAGUUAAUAUAGAGAUGAGUCUGAUUUUAGUUAAUUAUAAAGAGAAAAAUCCUUAUAAUUCAAUUUCAAUUAUAAGGAGACAAACUAAAAAUAUAUAUUUUCAAUUUCAAGUGUCAUUAAACUUUAAAAACUGAUUGUAAUUCAUUUAUAAGAAAUCAUUUUAUUUUUCGCUUCAUUUAUAAGAAAUCAUUUAUAGAUCCCAAUAUAAGAAAUCAUUUAUAAGAAGUCAUAUAAGAAAUCAUUUAUAAGAAAUCAUUUUAUUGUAAAUCAUUUAUAAGAAAUCAUUUAAAAACUGAUUGGUUCUAUAGAUCCCAAUAUAUUACAGCUAGGGCUGAGGGAUUCGGUGAGAUGGUGAUCAACGUUGAUUUUGAAUAUAUUAAAGCAAACCGGAGGGGGAAGCUUUAAGUGAAAGCAAGGCACACAACUCACACACAACGUGUGAUCAUUACUUGGGCAUGUGCCAUAGUGGCAGCCAUCAAAACAGCAUCAAAAUCAGGAACCUGAACAUAAGUAUUUUGGGUUCAAAUCUAUCUAAAAUCCCAAUAUACCAUAUGCUCAUAAAUUAAUCGAUUGUUUUGCAUUUCAGAGGAUGAGAUUAUCUGAUCAUGCCAUCAUAAGAUUCAAGAAUUAAAUUAUAUUAAAUAAUAUAAUCACUUUCAUGAUUCCAAAAAGAGAAUGAAAAUUGUCUCUCAAUCUUUAGGAGUUCCAGAUGCUGCUGCUUUCAAUUCAAUUGAUUCAUCCCUUAAUGACAACUGUUUUUUGAAUAAAUGGCCAUCUGCCCCAAAGAUUCAGAGGUUGCGAACAUACACAAAGGUUUGCGACUGUGUUUUUAACUGUGUUGCUACCAAGUUUUUUUAUUUUUAAAUUCAAGAUGUGUUUUUAGGUAUAUAAGCGGGGAGCUGUUGGGAGGUCGAUAGAUAUAUCUCGAUACUCUGGCUACAAUGAGCUGAAACAAGAUCUCAGUCGGAUGUUCAGCAUCAAAAGGGGGGCAACAUAACCACAUUCCUUUAAUAAAUAAAGCAGAACAAAGAAUAAGCAAACGUAAACAGAGGACCAGUGGUUACCUGUUAUUUCCCUUGACCGAUCUUUGUCUUUAUCUUCCUCCCAACCAGAACCGGAGUUUUGCUUGCGAAGUUGCAGAGACGGUUGUCGCUCUGACCUGGAAGUCUGACCUGGAAGUUGUCGGAAUGGACAGAAACGCUCUCGCCGGUUGUCGCUGGUCGCCGCUCGCCGAUUGUCAGAAGUUGAAAUCGCCACUGGUCAGAAAUGAGAAACGGGAGUGGUAGAAAAACU
rnacentral:lncRNA from 1 species